rnacentral:lncRNA from 1 species
CAACACUUUAUUUUCUGAGCACUUGAGUCACAUGGGCCCCAGUUGGCUUGACCUUGGUGGUAUGCCCAACCUUGAUCCAAUCACUGUGGCCAGAGAAUGGAACAUGGUGAUUGGCUUAGCCAAGGUGAGAGGGAUGGAGUCUGCUGGACCCGAAACAUGGCAUGAGAAGCAGACUGUUCCUUACUGUGGCAGAUAGACUCAUAAUACUCAUACGAGUGGCUGCCAUGAGUCCACCUCCUGGCAUUCAUGCUCUUGUGCAAUCCCUUCCACUUAAGAAUGAACACAGCCUGUGUCUGGCUUCUAACCAAGAGAACACAGCAAAGGUGUAUCAUUUUUUAGUGUAUUUACUCUUGGGCGUAUAUUUCAGAGUAGAAUUACUGUCAUUGGGUAUAUUUACAGUCAACACUGACAAAGAAUUUUCGAAGUGUUUGUUCCUAUUUACAUUCCCACAAGCAGUGUCUGAGUGUUCCAGUUGCUCUGCAUCUUCAAUAACACCUGGUAUUGACAGUUUAACAUUUUUAACCAUUCUAGGAUAUAUACAGGGAGCUCAGGAACCUGAAGAAAAGGAAAGGCACAGUAGGGGUGUGGUGGAACUGGGCAGCACAGAAGUCCAGUAAUCAUAACCCCCAACCCAGGCUGGUUCAAGUGCUGGCGAUGGUCAGCACGGUCACUAAACGGAUGCAAAUCCCCAAGGGAGAGCCUGGAGGAGUUCAGCUCUCUCCACCUCAGUGUCUGAGGACAGGGCAGGCUCUGAGCUUUUGGGGGAGAAAUGGAAAGUUAAUUCUCCCAGGAGGCUCGGCCUCUGAACUAGUUCUUCCUGGGCCUCUGAAAAAACCCUCCUUGCUGAGUGCCUUCUCUGACCCCAUAUUAGGCCCUGAGAAAAGGAACCAUUCUAAUGUUGUAGGGCUCAAAUCAAUUGUUCCAGAUCCCAAGGCUUGUAAACAAUUGAGACUGAAACCAUGCCUGCUAGAAGCCUGUGCUGUCCCACUGUGCUGCUUGCUGGAGAGCUUCCAUGCCCUUGUCCUGCCCAACACAGGCCAUUGUUCUUUAAUUAUCAAGUCAUUAUAUUAUGUCCAUCAGUCAAAAUUGAAAAAAAACACAAAGGAUUUUUAAUACACUUCAUGUUUUCAUCUGUGGAUGUUAAUUACAGAAUAGCUGACAGCAGAAGAGUAUUUUAGGUUAGAAUCUUUCUCUGAGUCUCACUGGGCUCCCGGGUGAUUAUUUGCAGCCCUUCUGUCCCUUCUUCCAGGCCUUCCCUUUAUCCCACCCCACCCCAUCUCACCUCUGCGCCCUCUUAAUUGUUCACGGAGAGAAAGCAAGAACACCAACCAACUGAUGACAUUCUUUCUGUACUUAGUGUUACUUGCCAGUGAGUAGUCAUUUUUGUGAGCUGGGAGACAUUCUCCACCAUGGCUAAUUACCAGGGAGUUCGAGUCAUUCUGCCUGGGUUCAAAUACCCCCUCUGCCACUAAUGCUGUGUCAGUUCAUUCCAGACUCAAUAAAAAAUGACAGGCUUCUUCUGUGUUCUACCUUUUCCUCCUCUACUUUCCUCUUUCCAGACAAUAAAGUAUUGUCCCUUGUGAGGUAGAAACAAAACAGCAACAUGAAAACAAAUUCUAAUAGCUCAUGGGAAGGACAGACAUCAUGAUCCCAAAGUGCUAUGUUAAAUGCCUUAAGA